rnacentral:rRNA from 1 species
AUUUUGGACGAUGGGGGCAACCCUUAGCCAGCCAUGCCGCGGGUGUGAAGAAGGUCUUCGGCUUGUAAAGCACUUUAUGUUGGGAGGAAGGGCAGUAAGUUAAUACCUUGCUGUUUUGACGUUACCGACAGAAUAAGCACCGGCUAAGUUCGUGCCAGCAGCCGCGGUAAUACGAAGGGUGCAAGCGUUAAUCGGAAUUACUUGGCGUAAAACGCGCGUAGGUGGGUUGUUAAGUUGGAAGUGAAAGCCCCGGGCUCAACCUGGGAACUGCUUUCUAAACUGGCAAGCUAGAGUAUAGCAUAGGGUGGUGGCAUUUCCUGUGUGGCGGUGAAAUGCGUAGAUAUAGGAAGGAACACCAGUGGAGAAGGCGAACACCUGGGCUAAUACUGACACUGAGGUGCGAAAGCGUGGGGAGCAAAC